rnacentral:lncRNA from 1 species
AGAUCAGGGAGCAGGGGCGGCUCUGGACACCUGACCUGGAUGAGGACCAGUGUCUGGCCUCCUUUGAUUUCUGCUGCUGACUUAUAGAUGCAGACUUCCAGCCAACUCUGGCUCCAGUGUUUUACUUCAUCAUUUCUCAUGAAUCUAAAACAUUCACUGAGCUCCUACUAUGCACCAGGCACUGUUCUUGGCACUUGUCAGAAGGAGCAGGGAAAUUCGUCAAAAUGAAAAAUGAAAAUCAAACCAAACUGGCACUCAAGAAGGUUAUAACUCAAUGAUAUUUUAAAUGGCUCUUUGCCAUAGUACUUGGUGGUCUCCUAACAGGGAUUUGACAUUCUGUUGAACAUGUAUAGUCCUUAUUCAUACAGUCUGUGCCAUUUCACAUCUCCAGUUCCAUUUGAAGCACUAGCUUCGAGGCAAGGACUACUUUAUGCCCAUUCAUCAUUGUAUGUAUUCACUCCUUCUGCUCACUCUGCUUUCAUAUUCCUCUCAUCCAAGUUCUUAGUGCUAAAAAAAUACCCAGGCGCUGUACCCAUAGAAAACAAUUGCAAACACUCAAAUAAAUUAGGAGAAGAUUUUCCCAACCCUGACAGCCAGGUAGUUCAUAACCAUUUACUUAUUGAUCUAACAAAUAUUUAUUGAGUGCCAACUAUAUGCUAGAUACAAUGCUAGCAUUUAUUGUACUAGAUCCUGGGAAACUGAUUAUACAUAAGAGAGGGAAUAUUCAUGGUUUCGUAGAGUUUAGAUUCCAUUGGGACAAGAUAAUAAUCAAGAAACAUGCAGCUUCUAGUACUGCCAAGUGACAUUGAGAACAUAACACAGGUUAAUCAUGAUGGACAGUGGUAAGAACAAGGACCAACAUUCAUAAAUUCUCAUGUAAGGACUCCAAAAGGUGACAUUUUAUUUGGGACCUGAAAAAUCAAAAGAAUAACGUUAGUAAAGUACCUGGGGGAGAUUCCAGAUAGAGCAAGUGAGAAAGCCUUGAUGUGAGAACAAGUAUGGUAUAUUGCUUGUAUGCAGGAAAAAGAAGAAGGCACGUGUACAGUGAGCAAGAUGGGGAGUGUGUGAGAUGAGGACAGAGCAUAGGCAGAGCUUUGCAGUCAGGAUGAGGAGUUUGGAAUUUAUUCUGGGUAUAACUGGAAACCAUCGGAGGGCUUUGAUCAAGGGCGUGAGCUGAGCUCCUCCAUAGACAUUUUAAGGGACUGCUGUGUAAAGAAUGAAUAAAGGGGAAUUCUAGAAGUAGAAUCAGAGAAACUGGUUAGUAGCAGCAACAGCAGUCCAAGUGAGGGAGAGCAUAUGGCUUGGUCUAGGGUGAUUUCAGUAAACAGAAAGGGGCCUGGACUCAGGACCUGUGAGAAGACGCUGUCAGAGGAAUGUCUUCCACUUUUUCUCAGACUCAUCCUGGAGCUGACACAGAUGCCGGUCCCUGAGGCAGGGAGGAAAGGGACCACAGUGCACUUCCUGAAGUCCAAACAAGCUUGCCGGUGCGUGCUGUUCUGACAGGCUGCUGGAGGGGCAGGCAAGGCUGACGCAGGAAAGGAUAGAACAUACUUACCUUCUGAGUCUGAAUGCCGCCCCUCCCCCACCGUAGCCAUGUUUCUAGAGUUUGCCCGAGGACUUCUUGUUGCACCUCACCUCCUUCUUCCUCACUGGAGUUCUGUGCAUUCUGGGUUGCACUCACUGACAUGGGAGUAUCUUCUUGUUCAGAAGAUUAAAACUGCAGGGCAUCAAAUUCUGUUUACUUGCAUAUUUGCCGCUUUCCCUUCCCUCCUGCCCUCAUGGAAGGGUGCUCCCUCCUCCUGUCUCCAUCCGAGCUCCGGGCCCUCACCUCACACCAUCUCUGGGGGUUUGAUUGACUGUGCUUUCCUCACCUGUGUGUGCAUCCACCCUCUCUCCUGCCUCAUUCUCAGCAGCACCUAAAAGCGGC